AUCAGGUGAGGUACACCUGCCUGGGACUCUAAGCCUCUGAUAGUCCUUUCCCAAUGAACUCGGUGUCACCUCCUGUGGAGUACUUAGGUUCCACUACUGGCACAUUGGAGUUCUCUUCGCCCCAGCCCGACACCCCCAUCCUCUAGAGUGGCGGGAAUAAAGGAUAAGCCUCAUUGGGUGUGCAGCCCGGAGACCCGAGCGCGCGGGGGCAUGGCUGGGCAUCCCCUCCCUCUCCAGCUCCAGAGACAGCGCACCCUCCGGCCUCGGGAGCAGCGGCGCCCAGCGAUCCCGCGCAGGGCUCUCCUAGGCCGCCAGUGACAUCACGGGCGAAGCGGAUUCCAGGCGCCCGGCUCCUGGUUUUGAGAGACGUAGGUCGGUUAGUCCGUCUCUGUCUGUGGGCCGCUGAAGAGGGCUCAUCGCCGGUUCCGCGCCGCGGGGCGACAGGACCCGGAGGAGGAGGGAGAGCGAAGGCGGCGAGGGAAGGAGGACCCCGGCAGGCGACAGCAUGCAGUUCAGGCCGGCGCACUUCCCGCGGCCUCUCCUGCUGGGGCUGGGCCUCAGCGCCAGAUACCCAGAGACCUAAGUGGGAACGUCAGUCGCGAGCUGGGCUGUGGUACAUUUGCGCCCACAUCAUUUCUGUGUCUUCCCAAACUUUUACAUUUUAAGUGCUAAAAAAUCAAUUUUCACAUUUAAGUUAUUCAAACAGGCCAUUUCCCUGCAUGGUAACUCUCUCUAUCUCUCUAUGAGAAGAGAGGAGUAAAACUCCCAUAGUCAUGAGUGUCCUCUGGCUCUUCCUGGACUGAAAAGCCCUUGAAAGUGUUUUUGUCUACAGUUCUGAAGAAGAAAGAUUUUGGGCAGGCCACACCGGAAACUGUUUCUCCUUCUGGCACAACUGCUCUGUGGCAUAUAGAAGACUGGAAGUUUGAUGCUUGCUUUUCUUUGUAACUGUGACACCAAAGUGCCGAUGGCUGGGCUUUAGCUUCUGUAUCCAGUGUAAAGUGCCAACAGGGAGAACAUGAAAGGCUAAAUUGAGAACAGCAACUUCAGAAAACUGAAAUCAUUUGGGUAGGCAGAGCUUGAUUUUUCUACUAGGAUGAUUUACUUCCUGAACAUUCUAAAAAUAAAUGUAUGAAAUGUCAGACAUAUCCUGUGAAAUAUAGUCAUAGAAGUAAAGAAAAUAUUUUAAAAUACACGUGC
rnacentral:lncRNA from 1 species